CAGCAGCCGCGGUAAUACGAAGGGGGCUAGCGUUGUUCGGAAUUACUGGGCGUAAAGGGCGCGUAGGCGGCCAUUCAAGUUAGAUGUGAAAGCCCUGGGCUCAACCUAGGAAUUGCAUUUGAUACUGUUUGGCUUGAGUUCAGGAGAGGUGAGUGGAAUUCCCAGUGUAGAGGUGAAAUUCGUAGAUAUUGGGAAGAACACCAGUGGCGAAGGCGGCUCACUGGACCGACACUGACGCUGAGGCGCGAAAGCGUGGGGAGCAAACAGGAUUAGAUACCCGCGUAGUCCCUGUCUCUUAUAC
rnacentral:rRNA from 1 species